rnacentral:rRNA from 1 species
CCUACGGGUGGCAGCAGUAGGGAAUAUUGGACAAUGGAGGCAACUCUGAUCCAGCCAUCCCGCGUGAAGGAUUAAGGUCCUAUGGAUUGUAAACUUCUUUUCUCUGGGAAUAAAAACUCCGUUUCUACGUAGCUUGAAGGUACCAGAGGAAUAAGCACCGGCUAACUCCGUGCCAGCAGCCGCGGUACUACGGAGGGUGCAGGAGUUAUCCGGUUUCACUGGGUUGAAAGUGGCCGUAGAUGUCAGUGUAGAAAUGUCGCAGCUUAACUGCGAAACUGCCAUUGAUACUGUUUAGCUUGAAUCAAGUUGAGGUGGAUGGAAUAUUACAUGUAGCGGUGAAAUGCUUAGAUAUGUAAUAGAACACCAAUUGCGAAGGCAGUUCACUAAACUUGUAUUGACACUGAGGCUCGAAAGCGUGGGGAUCAAACAGGAUUAGAUACCCUUGUAGUC